CCUACGGGUGGCAGCAGUGAGGAAUAUUGGUCAAUGGACGCAAGUCUGAACCAGCCAUGCCGCGUGCAGGAAGACGGCUCUAUGAGUUGUAAACUGCUUUUGUACGAGGGUAAACGCAGAUACGCGUAGCUGUCUGAAAGUAUCGUACGAAUAAGGAUCGGCUAACUCCGUGCCAGCAGCCGCGGUAAUACGGAGGAUUCAAGCUUUAUCCGGAUUUAUUGGGGUUAAAGGGUGCGUAGGCGGUCGGUUAAGUUAGAGGGGAAAUCCCUAGGCUCCACUUCGGAAUUGCCUCUGUUACUGUUCGGCUAGAGCGUAGUUGCGGUAGGCGGCAUGUAUGGUGUAGCGGU
rnacentral:rRNA from 1 species